rnacentral:rRNA from 2 species
CACGCCGUAAACGAUGGGUGCUAGGUGUCGCGGGCUUUGACCCCUGCGGUGCCGUAGCUAACGCAUUAAGCACCCCGCCUGGGGAGUACGGCCGCAAGGCUAAAACUCAAAGGAAUUGACGGGGGCCCGCACAAGCGGUGGAGCAUGUGGUUCAAUUCGACGCAACGCGCAGAACCUUACCUGGGCUAGAAAAUGCAAGAACCUGGUUGAAAAAUCGGGGUGCUCUUCGGAGAGCUUGUAGUUAGGUGC